AUUUAUCUUCGGGGCGUGGUGAAAUUCCCGACCGGCGGUAAUGAAGCAAUAUGCUUUUAGUCCGCGAGCCGUUAAUAUAAUGGCAGGAUUUGGUGAGAUUCCAAAACCGACAGUAAAGUCUGGAUGGGAGAAGAUAAAG
rnacentral:ncRNA from 2 species